AUGUUCAAAAGUAACAACAAUGAUCACAGAAGCAAGGAAAUAAAGAGGGAUCGGUUCAAUAAAAGAGCGGCUCCGACGAGGGGCAGUUCGGGUGCAAUUUACAGCAAAGGUAAAGGUCGGGUUCAGGCGAGUCAGACGAAUUCCGGUGAGGCUAUGGCUCAGGAUGUGAAACAUCAUCCUAAUGUUGGUGGGAAUGAUGGAUCAUGUCAUUUGGAAACAUUCUAG